rnacentral:lncRNA from 1 species
AAUUCCAGUCCAGAAUGCUGGAGAGAACAUGCGUUUAUAGAAACUCCUUGGAAAAUAGUAUUGAAGAAUGCUUAUCCAGGACAUGAAGACAUGUCAUAUCUGUGGAUCAUCAGGGAAGCUUUCCCAUGACUUUGGAUUUCAAAGCUACAGGUGGUCUGCAAGCAUGGCACUUCAAAGUGUGUUUUGAUUAAAUGAAGCGAUGUUUUCGUAAUAUGGAUCCCAGAUCUUUGAACUUUUUUCAGAUCAAUUCAGCCAACAAAGAUUCAAUUAGUUUCAGCUUUAGCUUAAGAGAUGAUUGUCCUGAUGCGAGAUUUUCUAAAAUGACAAGAGGAACAGAUUGAUGUGAUAAAUGCUGCAAUGACCUGUACAGCUGCACUCCACUUUACCAAUACAGAAAUCAU